UCUGAGUAGUUGAAAUAGAUAAGUCUUGAGUCAAUCAGUACAUCUGUACCACAUUCAUGUGGCAAAUGCUGCUUUAUGGAGAUGUUUCUAAUACUGACCUACAAUAAUUCAGCCAAGAUCACGUUUCUACUGUCUUCAGGAAAUGAGAAAAAUGAAUCCAGGAAAUUUCCAUCUUUAACUAUACUCUGUAAAUGUGCUGUCCAAUACACAGAUAGCUACUGAGCACUGGAAUAUAGCUAGUCUGAAUGGAGAUGUUCUCGAGCAGUUAAAGUGAAAACAAGAUCACGGAAAAGGAGAUAUAUUUUGGUAGAUCCAAGAAUCUAUGUUUGAUAGAGUCUUCACAGAAAGAGUCGAAAUUGACAACAUGCUUAUUGCUUUGGCUUUGGAUGUUGGUUGGGAACAUGGUUCUUGAAUAUCCACACUUCAAAGUAGAUCUUACUUUUUGGAAGAGUAGAAAGCUCAUUACGUUGGUUAAUUUGAGAAGUAAGACAAGGGCUCAGAAAGGUACUAGUUAUUAGUACCUUAUACACUAGCCUGCCUGGCAUUCUUACCAUGACAGUGAAUUGUCAUGGUAAGAGUUGUGGUUUUAAACCUCUUUUCCCCAGAUGUUACAUGGAGUAAUAUAUGUAUCCACAUACAUAUUAAAGUAGGAGGUAGAUAUUAUAUUGACUGGUGACUUGAGGACAUGAUACACAAAAUAGGUAACGUUUGAUGAAGCUUGAAAUGAGCCAAGAAAGGACAAAUCUGGAUAACACACUGUAGCCUUGGUGAUGAGAAAGGAGAAAGGAAAGAUAAUGAAGAUGGGUAUCAUAUUGCUUUGCCUUGAAUUUGCAGAAAGAGAUAUUUGGAUUAUGAUGUUACCUUAAAAAAGGCAGUUGAUAUUACUCAGUGAAAGUUCAGAAGCCAAGAAAACUAUGUGUGUGUACAUAUAUGUAUAUAAUGUACAUAUGUUUAUUUCUUUUUUUAAAAAAUUCUUACCUACCUCUCUACUAUAACAAAAUUAAUUUCAUUCUUUUUUGUUGCAUUUAAACUUUAUCUUGGUAAUGUUCAUAUUACAAAUUUGCCUAUAUUGUUGGUAUUAUAUUGUUACUAUAUAGAUAUAUUUGUAAGCAUAAAUGCUUGGUAUUCAAAUGUUUAACUAGUAAUAUUCAUAUUACAAAUUUGCAUAUAUGUUUGGUAUGAUAUUGUUACUAUAUAGAUAUGUUAUAUUUGUAAGCAUCAAUGCGUGGUAUUCAAAUGUUUAACAACUCUCCAUUUUUUUCUCAAGUAACCCUCUGACAAAAGGCUGUAUUUAUAUAAAACUGACAGAUUUUUAUGGUGGAUCAUUUUUCUUACAUUAAUUACAUAGGUAGUAUUAUUUUAGUUGGAGGUCAAAUAACAUACUAUCAAUGACAAUUUAGAGAUAAAUUGUUUGAAAUCCUGAUAUGGAAGAGCUAUAGAAAUAACAUGGGUGACCUCACGUUUUUAAGAUAGCCUCUCUGCACCAUAUGGCUAGUCCCAAAUGGAGAUCAAGAAAGCAAGGUCAUUUUUAAUCUCUACAUACAUCUUGCUUUCCUGGUUUAACACUAAUCAUUCAUUGUAUUCUGCAUAUUGGAAGGGAGCAGAUGAAGGAUACUAAGAAUUCACUUUGAAAACAUGUACUCAAUGUUUCAUAUCCAAAAACUCCCAGGGAUUAAACAAUCAGAAAACCCUACAUCAUUUGCAUUUUAAUGGAUACAAAUAAGAGUUGAAACAUUUCUUUACACUUAAACUACCAUGAACAAGCUUAUAUAGCUAUUAGGAGUGAAAAUGGGGAGGAGGAGGAAGAAGGGGACUCUGAAAUUUAAGGAAAAUUCAUUUCUUUUACAGAGUUGGAGCUAGGCUGAUUAAGUCAAGGUGCCUAACUCUGCUAGAGACACAUUUUCCUAAUGAAAAAUACUGUAACUUCAGACUUUUCACAUUUUCCAUGAAUAGAUGUCAUUACUCAUUAUCACAUUUAUCAUUACUUGUAAAACAAUGAGGUGGCAGCAGGGGGGGAAAGGACUAAAAUAGAAUUGAAAAAAAAAUUGGUACUAGCUAAGGUAAUUUAAAUGAAGCUUUUUUUUUUCCAGAAGCAAAGGUGACCUCCAUGAUUACUCCACCAUACCUUUGGGAAACUGACAUAAGAUAGUGGACAACUAUAAUGGAAAGAAUAGUGACUACGGUUUCUCUCCACCCUCCUCUAAUUCUGCAUUAGAAAUGAAAAAAAGCUUGACUGGUAAAAUUCUGAAACAGACAAUGAGCUAUUUAAGUGAUAAUUACUGAAUCUCAUUUUUAGAAGCCCAUUAACAGGUAUCUCUUUAGUCAUGAGAAAAUUAUUCAUAAAUAUUAAAUUGUGUGAUCACAUUGCAAGUUUCUUUCAAAUUAUAGAAUCUGACUAAUUUCACAGUAACUGUUUGCCAUUAAUUGGCUUUAAGAUUUAAUCAAGUAAAGACAUCAUUGUUUAAUUCUAAUUUGUAAAGCCAAAAAAAGUGUAACAUUAUUAUCUUUAGUCAAACUUCUUCAAAUGUUUAUGCAAGGUAGAAAUUGAAAACAACAGGUACUCCUGUGCUUACAGUUUCUCCAGUUCAAAGAACAAAAUUCAUCAAUGGGAAGCUGCAGUGGAUUGUAGAGUAAAAUCUUGCUGCCCAACUAGAGAAUAAAAAGAGUUUGACCAGACUUAUAACAAUGACAUAAUGGCCAUUUUGUUGAGUUCUUAAUGAGUUUAGUAGGUAGUGAAAUGGGAAAGGUUCCCUUGUCCCCCUUGCAGGGUGUGUGGUGGGGGUGUAGCUUGCUUCUUCAGUGCCCCACUGCUCAAACUUCUAGGGGAGCAUACAGAUGGGCAGGUUGUGGGGCUCCAACCCCACGGCAGUGUCUAGGGGUGAAUGUUUACAGCUCCUGAAGUGCCAGUGGGCGUGUGUUACAGGGUGCUCUGUUAGUUUGCCCUCUCUAGGCAGCUUGUGUUAACCAGCUCAGUUGGACUUUGUUGCAAGGAUAGAAGACUUUCUGUAUCUCCAGGUUCUUGCCUUGGUGUACCAGAAGAAUCAAUCACACAUGGUCUUGGAGAAUGAGUGCAAAGUUUUAUUGAGUGCAGGUAGCUCUCUGCUGCUCUUCCACCAGUAUGCUCUCCACAACCAGCCGCUUGUGUGUUCUUCCACUGAUGUGUCCUCUCAAUGUCCAGACGCUUCUGUCUCUGCCUUGCUAGGAUCUUGGGCUUUUAUAGACCUUGGAUGGGGAGGUGGUGAGCCAGGGUGGUCUUGGGAAAUGCAACAUUUGGGCGUGAAGUCAGGAGUGCCUGUUCUCACCUAGGUCCGUGGGGGUAAAGCCCUAGCUAGGGACCAUGCCUUCCUCUACCCAGCACUUCCCUUCCUCAUUCUGUAUCAUUUAAAGAGACCACACUCCUCCCUUCCCAGCACUCCUGUAUCAGUAGGAAGAUAGAAGAAAACUCUAGAUCACCAUCAAGUUCAAGUCAUUUCAGAUUUUCAGUGAAUAUAUGUUUGCUGUGUCCUUCAGGUACCAAGAUGCAGGGAAAUGAUUAAAAGGCCCUGAGAUAUACAAUACUGAAUGGUAGGGAGGAGGAGGCCUUCUAGGUUGGAAAGUCCCGUAGCUGACUAGCUACUAAAUGUUCUAUCAGCUAUUGAUAAGACCGUGUUCAGAACAUACGGAAAUUGUAGGAUAUAAUUUUUGUAUGUUACUUGUCACCAGCUGUUCAAUAUUAUGAAUUAUUCCUGAGACAUUACAGAAGUUGAGAAUGAAUUGUGCCCAUAAACAGAAAACAUAUUAACCUAUACAAUACACUCGUUUUCCUUUUAGAGACACGAAUACCCCUAGCUCAAGGAGUCGAUAUGUAUAAAAUAGGCAACUAGGGGCAUGCAAAUAUUGUGGAAAUGGUGUUUCUGAUUGGCACUGGCAGAUUUAUUAUUCGAAAUAAUCCUGUUGGCAAAAAAAGGAAAUUUUUUUUCCGUAUCAUAAAAUCUGAUUUCAAAAACUUGCUCCUUUUUGACUUUCUCUAUAAGCUUGUAAGUCUGCAUUCUUCUCUCAUUUUUAUAUCCAGGCUCUAUUGUAAUUUAUCUGUUGCUAACCAGUUUUCAAUAAAAUAUAUAAUAAAUAAGAUUUUCGGUUUUUA
rnacentral:lncRNA from 1 species